GACCAUGGGAAGGGGUGUCUUUUCUUCUUGGGCCCUUGCUGGAUGUGACUGAGGGUGACACCAGCUCCAAGGGACUAGAAAUGAGGGAUGGGUGAGAGAGAAAAAGCCUGCGUCCUCCAGGACUCUGGUCCUGAGACCCAGGAAAUCUGAGGCGUCCGUGAUGGGGCAGGUCCACUCGAGUGGAUAUCAGCUGCCAUCUUUUCCGCGGCACCGAGCAGAGCUGAGACUUUGCCUCCCAGUUUGGCAGCCGAGUUCAUGAGCGUCUGACAGCGUGACUGGAUGUCGGGAAAUUAUAAAACUAUCUCUCCCCUGGAAUGGGGGAUGUGGGUGUGCCCUGCCCCUGCCUAUGCCAGAGGAAGCAGGUGAUUGGACCUGGCUUUAGUUCUUCCAAGUGUCCCGACAUGACCUCUAGUCAGAGAAGUAGUGUGUGCUCCUGUCCUCACCCUCAGCUCCAGUGACUCCCCACAAAGGCAGCGGGAAAGAGCCUUCUAAAGACCAGUGAGGACGUCCUGCUGAGAGGUCGAGGCAGGCCCUCUGUCACAGUGCCAGCCACCGGCCUUUAGCUGCUCGCGUCCCCGUUCGCUGAAAUCCCACCACCACCUGAGCAGGUAGGUUCCACUUUUAGCUCAUUUUGCAGAGGAAAAACAUUGAAGAACAGAGAAUUUAAGCCACGUGCCCAAGACCACACUGCCGUAAAUAGGACGGCAUAGAUUGGGACACACUGCCAGGUCUUGCCAAGGCACCACCCACCUCUUGCCCCACCCCAAACACCCCCACACUGCAGCCCCACCUCCCCUCCCUACUCGGUCCUCGUC